GAGGGUCGCUCCUGUAAGUCGCUCUGGAUAAGAGCGUCUGCUAAAUGACCAAUA
rfam:Salmo salar isolate Sally breed double haploid chromosome ssa13, whole genome shotgun sequence.